rnacentral:lncRNA from 1 species
CAUGGCUUUUUCUUCUCUCUCCCUUAUCCUUUUCUGCUUCAUCUUCAUAUCAUUCGCCAUCUCCGACGCCGUUGUUCCCCCCGCCGACACUUUUCGGUAUGUCAACCAAGGCGAUUUUGGAGAACUCGAUUCCGAAUACGCCCCAACCUAUCGUCCUCUUCCUCCAUACACCUCCCCUUUCCAGCUCUGUUUCUACAAUACCACCCCCGGCGUCUACACUCUUAGUCUCCGCAUGGGAACCGGACGUGAUGAAGCGGUCAUGCCAUGGGUGUGGGAUGCCAACAGAGGCAACCCAGUUGGCGAAAACGCCACCUUCUCAUUAGCCUCCGACGGAAACCUUGUACUCGCCGACGGAGAUGGACGGAUCGCAUGGCAAACCAACACCGCCAACAAGGGUGUCGUCGGUUUUGCCAUACUCUCCACCGGUAACAUCGUGCUUCGUGACUCCAAGGGUGGUUUCGUCUGGCAAAGCUUUGAUUCACCUACUGAUACGCUUAUGUUUGGUCAAUCUCUCCGGAUCGGAGGUCCAACGAAGCUCGUCAGCAGAGCUUCAACGACGAACAACGUAAACGGAGCGUAUAGUUUCGUGAUAGAGCCAAAAAGAUUGGGUUUGUAUUAUAAGAACAUGCUUUAUUGGUCUUCCACGUUUCCAUUGUUUCCGGAAUUGAACCAACCAAAUGUGACUAUUGUUAAUGCGACAUUCGCCAUCGUGGAAACCGAAUACAAUAACGACUUUAACGCAAUUAGGUGUCAUCUUUCAAACUCUAAUGCUCAACCUUUUUUGGACAUGGACAUACUCCGAUUCAAUAACACGUUAUCCUAUAUCCGAUUAGGCAUCGAUGGGAACUUACGACUCUACUCUUAUCGUCCUCCGAAUAUCCGUUUUAGCCAAUGGCGUAUCGUGUUCAGAUUGUUCGAUAAUAUGGAGACCACGAGGCGGGGUUUAUAUGAAGACGAGUGCCAACUGCCUGAACGCUGCGGCAAGUUUGGGCUGUGUGAGGACAGCCAGUGUGUUGGGUGUCCGUCGCCGGAGGGUGUUUUUGCGUGGAGCAAAAACUGCAAUGCGAAGACGCCGUCUUGUAAAGCGGGUGGUUCUCGUUACUACCAGCUGAAAGGAGUCGACCAUUUCACUUCUAAAUACUCUCCGGGGAGUGGGCCGAUGAAACAGAAAGAUUGCGAGAGUAAAUGCACAAAGGACUGUAAGUGUAUGGGGUAUUUCUAUCGCACUGAUCUAUCGAGGUGUUGGAUCGCUAACGAGUUAAAAACUUUGACGAGGGUUGGGAACUCGACUCAUUUGGCGUACAUCAAAACACCCAUCCAGUAGUUGGAUAAGUCUACUAGGAAAGAGGGAAUAAGGAAGAUGAAAGAUUUGAAGAAAUAGCACUGUUUACUUGCUUUUCUAUAUUUUUACCUUCCAUUGUCUGUUUGUAUCGAAAUCAAAGAGACUAUGUGGUUGUAUAUUUUUUAAGAUGUAAAACGCUUCGGUAUGCAUAACACAUUUGCAGUAGAAUAAAUGUGUUUACAGUCUACAAGUGGACAAAAUAUUUACAGUUUAAAUAAAGUUUUUUUAAUAAUUAUAAAAAAUAAAAUUAAAAAUUGUUUCAAUAAUUACAAGAACGUAUAAACUGCAAAAUAUGAUUAUCUUGCGGAUUACCAUUUUUUUAUAAUUAUUGAAAAAAAUCUUUUAAUUUUAAUUUUGUUUACUUUAUCUUUUUUAUGUUGUAUGUAGAACUUAAAAAACAAUCAAUCUUUUCUUGUAAAUGCAAACAAUUAGUCCCCUUGUAGACUACCAACACCUUACCUAUUGAAGGCAUGUAUUUUUUCUAUAUGGUAUUUUAUUUUCUAUUAUGAAACAUGAAAUGCAAAUUUAAUUUGAAAAUCAGUAAAUCUAUAAAUAAUUUAAAAAAAAAAAAAAAAAAAACACUAAAAUUACGAUACACAAAAUUGUGUGUCGUCUUUAUUUAUGACAUGACCUUUCUUGACAGGGACUUCCUAGAUACGCAUUGCGUGUCAUAAACACGCGCUUCGUAAGGUUACGGCACGCAAAUGCGUGUCGUCUUCCUUUAUGACAGGGCCUUCCUUGAUACGCAUUGCGUAUCAUAACCGUGCGUCGUAAAUGCGCGUCGUCUAUAGAUGACGCGCAAAAGCGCGUCGUCUAUAGAUGACGCGCAAAAGCGCGUCGUCUCUCUUUAUGACAGGGCCUUCCUUAACGCGCAUUUGCGUGUCGUCUGAGCGUUUUACGAUGCGCAAUGAGCGUCGUAAAAGGCUGUUUUUUAGUGCGAUAAAGGGUCGGCCUUGGUGCCGUAGACCCUGUCGAUAUAGUGAGGAUAACCCACCUCGCGACUUUCGAAACUCUAAACUGAAGAAGCAGAUGCCCGAACCACCGUCUCACCAAAGAUCCUGAACUAUCCAAAGUAGCAAAAUACACAUUAGACCAAGCACAAUAUCCUUCCAAGGGUAAAUUGACCAAUUUACCCUUAACUCAAUUUGGUCCAUGACUAAGGUCCAUAAUGAAAAUAUGAAAGGCCCAACACUAGGUAAGCUCUCAAGCCUAUUAAUGGUCCAAAGACCAAAAGUCUGAAGCAAAGCCCAAUAUUGGCCCAAUUUACUAAAUUGGGCCCACCUCACCAAAUGGGCCUAGAUCCAAGGUCCAUAAUAAUUAGUGAGUCCAAAUUACUCCAUCCAUAAUGUCCAGUCACAGCCCAAGCCAUAUUAGCCCAAUAACAACCCAAUCUCUUAAGGCCCAAAAUGAAAACUCAACAGAGGGAGUACGUUGGGCGUUCCCUUCUUGGUAUGCUGGGUGUACAACAAUGCUCGCGGAUUGGAAUCAGGACACAGACCCACUACGUUGGGCGUACUCCCAUUUAGGCAGGGCGUAACCUCGCUGAACUACAACUCCACAUAAGAUCUUAAUGGCUUAAGCUCUUAAGCCCAAACUUCAGAUCCAUAGACAAAAUAUGCCUAGGAUUCAUAAAGUCUCAAACUUUAUUACUUGGGACGUCCAUAAACCUCUUAACCCAAGGUCUUAAUCCAUUAAGACCUACCUAUAUCACAUAUGAGACAACCAAAGCCCUUGGGACCUCAUUUUUCUUACUCAAGACCUCUCCUAAGGUCUGAAAGGACAACUAAUCUCGACCAACUCGAAUCAUGCAUCAAGUUGAGGUUUUUGGGACAAGAAUGGUGUUAAAACUUCACAACACAAAGAUCUAUACAAUAAGAUUGUCAAGCCAGAGACUUUUUACCUCAAAAGGGCUCCAGAAGAUGAUGCCUCUCCAGAUCUACGAGCUCCAGCCGCCCCACUCCUUCUUUGACAACUUAUGUUUUCUUCUUCUUGGUUUUCCUUUGCCAAAACAAGCUUUCCAAGGUCAACACACCCAACAAUGGAGGUGGAACGGCUAUCUAGGGUUUUCUGAGGGUAAGAGAGUGUUUAUGGAGGCUAGGGUUGGAACCAUAAUGUUCCUUAUAUAGUGGUUGACCCUAAAUUUAGGGUUUCUGGAUGAUAGACGUACGUUGGGCGUACAUCCAGUACGUUGGGCGUACGUCGAGAGACCUCCGCGUUCAUUUACUCCAUUACGUUGGGCGUACCUAGCCAAACACGUGCAUGAAUGCUUGGCAUGCAUGGGACCCCUUUGCUAAACUUCCCCCUUAGGGACCAUUGUUGUCAAUAUCUUCAAUUUACAACAUAUCCUCCAUCCUAAGUUCGUUCCCGACGAACUUUAUAUCCACAUAAAGGGGCGCGAGAAGACCUACGCUUCUAGUGACACACCCCGACCCGAAAACCCAUUUCGAAUAAACCCAAUACCCAUAAAAAGACCGAAACGCCCUUACUCUUGAUCUCGGGAACCCAUAAAUAGAUAUUUUAAGAACGGAGCGUUACAGAUAUUGAUUGGGAUGUUGUACAAGCAUUUAUGGUUUUUGCUAAGGUGUUUUAUGAAGUGUGAAAUCGGUUUUCGGGGUCUUUGUAUGUAACUUUUCGUGCUUACUUUCAUGAUAUGUGUUCAUUGCAUAGCCAUAUUCAUGAAUGCAUUAAAAGUGAUGGCGGGUGAGUUCAAUGGCUAUGAAUAUGAAAGCAAAGUAUGAUAAAUAUUGGGAAAAUGCAGAAAAGAUGAAUUCUAUAUUGUAUGUAGAUGUUGUUUUUGAUCCUCGAUACAAAUUAAAAUAUGUCAAUUGGAGUUUGGAAGAAAUAUAACCUAUCGGUGAUAUUGCAUGUGACUUGAAAAAAAGUUAAAAGCCACUUUGAAUCGACUUUAUGUCUUUUAUUUGGAAAAAGAUCCUAUGCAUGCCAAAAUUCUUCUUCAAACAAGAAUCAUAACAAAAGAAAAGUUAAUGAGAAUCUUAACAUACAAGAGAAACGUAUGCUAAAAUAUAAGGAACAUUUGGAAGAUGAAAAAAAUAGGAGAAUUGAGUGAGCUUGAAAGAUAUUUGUCAGACAAUCAAGAGCCAAGUUAUGAGUCAUUUGACUUGUUGGAUUGGUGGAAGACAAAUAAAGCAAAAUAUUGUAUUUUGGGAAAAAUUGCACGCGAUGUCGUGGUUGUUGCAGUUUCUAUAGUUGCUUCGGAAUCCACAUUUAGCACAUGGGGUAGAGUUUUGGAUUUAUUUAGGAGUAGUCUUUCUCCUAAAAGAGUGCAAGCGCUUGUAUGCACACAAAAUUGGAUUUGGGGUGUGUUUAACAAAACUGCAAAAGUUUGUUAUGAAGAUGUGUUGCAAGAAAUUGAAGACCUUGAAGAAAUUCAAAAUAGUAAGAUUUCAGAUGUUAAAAAGUUUUAUAUCUCUUUGUUAUUAUUUUUUACAAAAUAUAACCUGUAUUUCAGGUUUUGCAAGCGAACUUAGUAUUUGCGCCGACAAUAUCGAUUGAAAGAUACUUUUCUUCUCAUGGUCUUAUAUUGAACUUUUGGUGUGAUGUUUUAAUAUUGAGUUUUUUGAACAAUAAACACAUAUGAAUUGGAUGACAUUUUGGAAGUGGAUAACAUUUUGGAAGUGAGCUUGCGGAUAAUGGAAAAAUAUUUGUGGUUUGUGUGUAUCGGUCUGAUGUUUGAUGUAAUGGAACAAUAUUUGUUAUUUUUAUUUACUGUUUUGGAUGGUUUUUAGGUUGCAUGAAUAGAUACAAAUGCUUGACGUAAUAGAAAGAUUUUAAAAAGUUUUAACAACUUUAAUAUGUUGUUUUUUUAACAAUUUUUUGCAGUUUUCUGGCAAUUUUGAUAGCUUUAAUGUUGUUUUUUUGGCAGAUUUUUUGACAGUUGUAACAAUAUAGCAGUUUUUUUUAACAAUUUAAUGUACUCGACAAAAAAUGAGCCUAAAAAGCCCAAACCGUGAAACUAAACCAGAACCAAACCGUUAGUAACAAUUUGAUUUUGUUUGGUUUUAAUUUUUAAACGGUUCCGCUGCGGUUUUUGAUCGAAAAAAAAAACUGUGAAGACCUCUAAGUAGAGGUUCGUUUUGUAUCAAUAUUAAUAAUAAUUUUUUAGUAGCUUCUUAUUAUCAUUAUAAAAUUAAUAGAAAAAUAAAAAGAAAUAAACACAAGUCAUGAUUACAAUAAUUUAAAAUAUAAUAUUGUUAUUUUAAAAAUAUAUUUUAAUUGCAUUUGUUUAUUUGAUAAUGAUAUCCAUCCCUUUAAUAAUGUAUACAACCGGGAUACCAGUAACUUAUGCACUUUCAAUAAAUUAACAUGCUUUCGGAAAAAAAAAUUGUAAAUUUGUAUUUGUAUGUAUAUAUACAUGCAUAUUUCCAACAAAGCAACACCGCUAACCAUGGCUUUUUCUGCACUCUCCCUUAUCCUUUUCUGCUUCAUCUUCAUAUCAUUCGCCAUCUCCGACGCCGUUGUUCCCCCCGCCGACACUUUUCGGUAUAUCAACCAAGGCGAUUUUGGAGAACUCGAUUCCGAAUAUGCCCCAACCUAUCGUCCUCUUCCUCCAUACACCUUCCCUUUCCAGCUGUGUUUCUACAACACCACCCCCGGCGUCUACACUCUCAGUCUCCGCAUGGGAACCAGACGUGAUGAAGCGGUCAUGCCAUGGGUGUGGGAUGCCAACAGAGGCAACCCAGUUGGCGAAAACGCCACCUUCUCAUUAGCCUCCGACGGAAACCUUGUACUCGCCGACGGAGAUGGACGGAUCGCAUGGCAAACCAACACCGCCAACAAGGGUGUCGUCGGUUUUGCCAUACUCUCCACCGGUAACAUCGUGCUUCGUGACUCCAAGGGUGGUUUCGUCUGGCAAAGCUUUGAUUCACCAACUGAUACUCUCUUGUUUGGUCAAUCUCUCCGGAUCCGAGGUCCGACGAAACUCGUCAGCAGAGCUUCAACGACGAACAACGUUAACGGAGCGUAUAGUUUCGUGAUAGAGCCAAAAAGAUUGGGUUUGUAUUAUAAGAACAUGCUUUACUGGGCUUCCACGUUUCCGGCGUAUCCGGAAUUGAACCAACCAAAUGUGACUAUUGUUAAUGCAACAUUCGACAUCGUGGAAACCGAAUACAAUAACGACUUUAACGCAAUUAGGUGUCAUCUUUCAAACUCUAAUGCUCAACCUUAUCUGGACAUGGACAUACUCCGAUUCAAUAACACGUUAUCCUAUAUCCGAUUAGGCAUCGAUGGGAACUUACGACUCUACUCUUAUCGUCCUCCGAAUAUCCGUUUUAGCCAAUGGAGUCUGGUGUUUAGAUUGUUCGAUAACAGGGAGACCACGAGGCAGGGUUUAUAUGAAGACGAGUGCCAACUGCCUGAACGCUGCGGCAAGUUUGGGCUGUGUGAGGACAGCCAGUGUGUUGGGUGUCCAUCGCCGGAGGGUGUUUUUGCGUGGAGCAAAAACUGCAACGUGAAGACGCCGUCUUGUAAAGCUGGUGGUUCUCGUUACUACCAGCUCAAAGGGGUCGACCAUUUCACCUCUAAAUACUCUGCGGGGACUGGGCCGAUGAAGCAGAAAGAUUGCGAGAGUAAAUGCACAAAGGACUGUAAGUGUAUGGGGUAUUUCUAUCGCACUGAUCUAUCGAGGUGUUGGAUCGCUAACGAGUUAAAAACUUUGACGAGGGUUGGGAACUCGACUCAUUUGGCGUACAUCAAAACACCCAUCCAGUAGUUGGAUAAGUCUACUAGGAAGAGGGAAUAAGGAAGAUGAAAGAUUUGAAGAAAUAGCACUGUUUACCUGCUUUUCUUAUUUUUACCUUCCAUUGUGUGUUUGUAUCGAAAUCAAAGAGUCUAUGUGGUAUACUUUUUAAGAUGUAAAACGCUUUGGUAUGCGUAACACAUUUGCAGAAGAGUAAUGUGUUUCCAGUCUACAAGAAAAAAGAUCGAUUAUUUAUUAAAUUCUACAACGACAUAAAAAAGGGUAGCUGCUAUUUGUAUACACCUCUAGGGAAUGAAAGACGAGAUCACAUCAAUCAUCGUGGUCUUUCUAUAAAUUUUAUAAGGUAGGCUAAAUUUUUUUUCUUAUUUUACCAUUUAGACGCCCUUAAUUAAUUUUAAAUUUUUUUUUUAUUGUCGCCAGAACAAAUGCUAUCAGAAAAGUUAAAAACCCUGUCGCAUGGUAUAGAUACAUGUGGGAUAUUAUUGGAAAAUAGAGAACAUAAUUUUUGGAGUUUCGGUUUUUUGGGCUAAAUUUAGGGUAGAGUGUUAUAGAUGAUUCCUGAUUGGUUAAUAAGGCUGGGGGAAUUGGAGUCACCGAAAAUGCAUUCCUUCUCCCAUCACAUAAGCGUCAUGUCAUUUUUUACCACUCAAAUGUGGUUUCUUGCCACAUCAAGUGUGUAGUGCCACACUUUUCAUUUCUUUUAUUUUUUUGUUUUUUUUAAGUAUUUUAAUUUAAUAAAACUUCCUUUUUUUAACUAUUUUAAUUUAAUAUAACUUAUAUUUUAAUAACAAAAACAUAAUUUUUCAUUACUUAAAAAUUAAAAAAAAAAAACACUAUAUUACGUUACUAAAAAAAACCCAUACAUAUGACAUUUAAAUAAUCUUAGAAACUUAAAAAACAUAAAUAAAAUAACUAAAGCAAACUACAUAAAGUCAUUCUCCGAGAACUCGUCUUCGGGGUCAUCCGGUGAAUCCAAAUUAAGGUUAAUGUUUUGAACCCUAUAAAUGUUUUCCAAGUCAUUGCGAAGAUUGUAAAAUGUUUCAGUGCAAUGUAUCUUUGCUCUCCUGUUUAUAUACUCUUCGCCACCAAUUUCUAUUGGCUAUGUCUCUGGUAUGGUUUCUUCUUCGUCAAACUCACAUAUCGCUUUUCCUUCGUCUUCAUUAAUCAUGUUAUGCAAUAUAAUACAUGUAUAUAUGAUUUCUUGAAGUUUUUCCUUGCCCAAAUAAGUUGUUGGUUUUUUCAAUAUGAACCACCGUUUCUUCAGAGCUCCAAAGGCACGCUCAACAUCUUUCUUAGCUCUUUCUUGAGCUCUCUUAAAUUUCUUUUGUCAAGAACCAUGUGGAGCUGAAAACGGUUUAACAAACACAGCGUACUUAGGAUAGAUUCCAUCGACCAGAUAAUAACCAUACUUAUAUGGCGUUCCACGCACUUGAAAAGAAGAAUCUGGUGCGAAUCUAUCGUAUAUGUUGUUAAAUAUUAAUGAACGGUUAAGAACGUUGAUGUCGUUAAUCGAACCAAGAGAACCAAAAAAAGCAUGCCAAAUCCACAUAUCUUGUGAUACAACUGCUUCAAGUAUGACCGUUGGGUGACCAUGAUCACCUCGGGUAAAUUGCCCAUAAUAUGUUGUAGGGCAAUUUUCCCAUGCCCAAUGGAGACAAUCUAAGCUUCCUAGCAUUUCAAGAAACCCAUGCACACUAGCAUGAUGAGCUUGCAAUUGCAGGAUGUCAUUACGUGUAGGCUUACGUAAAUAUUUUGGACCAGAAAACUGAAUCAUAGUUUUGCAGAAAAAAUGGAGACUGUCUCGUGCUAUCCUAGCAGACAUCCUAAAACUUUCGUCUAGCGCAUCAGGCGGAAUUCCAUAUGCUAACUGACGAAGUGUGCCCGUGCAUUUUUGUAAGAGAGUGAAACCGAGUGUACCUCUAGUAUCGUAGCGUUGUUGGAAAAAACUACACUCCCUCGUUACAUCGUCAACUAUACGUUCGAAUAAACCUUUGAGCAUUCUGAAGCGCCUACGAAAUACCUUGGUAAGUGGCAUUCUCUGCAAAAUAUUCUUGCACCAGACGUUGGUUGACUUCUUCACGAUUUCUGUAAAUAUAUCUUCGUGUUCUCUGUUGAGAACUUACAGCUGCGUUGUUACAUACAACGUUGUAUGUUUGUUCCGCCAUUUAAACACACGCAAUAGCGAUAUCAAAAAUAGUCUGAAAUUCUUCAGAAGAUGAAGAAGAUGACAUUUUUGAGAGAGUGGUGAUUUAAAUUUUUUUUUUUUUUUUUGAGAGAGAAAGGAGAUUGUGUUGUAAAAAAAAAGAUUAAGUUGAUAUGUAUAUAUAUAGAAAAGAAAAAGCAAAAGAAAAAAAAUUAAAUGCUCAACGUCAAUCCUUCCCAACUUCCCUCAACCAAUCAGAACACACGGUCUUAGAGAACCGCACUAUGGCCAAGAUUGUACUAGACCGCGGUCUGAAAACGGUGUUUCAAUACUACGUGGCAUAAAGUGCGGUCUGGAACGGUACCCGCACCGUGAAGCCUAAGUAAAGCAAACGGAUUUUGACGGACACACGAACCCGCGAUACUAGUAACUAUUACCUUUUCAUUAAAUUAACAUUCUUUCAUAAAGAGAAUAUAAAAGUCUAUAUAUAUGCAUAUAUAUCCGACAAGGCAACACAGUAACCAUGGUUUCUUCUCUCUCCCUUAUCCUUUGCUGCUUCAUCUUCAUAUCGUUAUCCAUCUCCAACGCCGUUGUUCCUCCCGCCGAUACUUUUCGGUAUGUCAAUCAAGGCGAUUUUGGAGAAUUCGAUUCCGAAUACGCCCCAAACUAUCGUCCUCUUCCUCCAUUCACCUACCCUUUCCAGCUCUGUUUCUACAACACCACCCCCGGUGUCUACACUCUCAGUCUCCGCAUGGGAACCAGACGUGAUCAAGCAGUCAUGCCAUGGGUGUGGGAUGCCAACAGAGGCAACCCAGUUGGCGAAAACGCCACCUUCUCAUUAGCCUCCGACGGAAACCUUGUACUCGCCGACGGAGAUGGACGGAUCGCAUGGCAAACCAACACCGCCAACAAGGGUGUCGUCGGUUUUGCCAUACUCUCCGAUGGUAACAUCGUGCUUCGUGACUCCAAGGGUGGUUUCGUCUGGCAAAGCUUUGAUUCACCGACUGAUACACUCUUGUUUGGUCAAUCUCUCCGGGUCGGAGGUCCGACGAAGCUCGUCAGCAGAGCUUCAGCGACGAACAACGUUAACGGAGCGUAUAGUUUCGUGAUAGAGCCAAAAAGAUUGGGUUUGUAUUAUAAGAACAUGCUUUACUGGGCUUCCACGUUUCCCGAAGUGAACGACCGAAAUGUGAAUAUUGUCAAUGCAACAUUGGAAAUCCAGAGAACCGAAUACGAAGAAAACUACUUUAAUGCGCUAAAGUGUCGUCUUUCAAACUCUGAAGCUCAACCUAAUUUGGACUUCGACAUACUCCGAUACAAUAGCACGUUAUCAUAUCUCCGAUUAGGCAUCGAUGGGAACUUAAGACUCUACUCUUAUCGUCAGAAUGUCCGUUUCAGCUCAUGGAGUCUGAUGUUCACUUUGUUCACUAGAAGGGUGAGCGAGAGGGGAGAGAUAGUUGAAGACGAGUGCCAACAGCCUGAUCGCUGCGGCAAGUUUGGGCUGUGUGAGGACAGCCAGUGCGUUGGGUGUCCGUCGCCGGAGGGUGUUUUUGCGUGGAGCAAAACUUGCAACGUGAAGACGCCAUCUUGUAAAGCGGGUGGUUCUCGUUACUACCAGCUCAAAGGGGUCGACCAUUUCACUUCUAAAUACUCUCCGGGGAGUGGGCCGAUGAAACAGAAAGAUUGCGAGAGUAAAUGCACAAAGGACUGUAAGUGUAUGGGGUAUUUCUAUCGCACUGAUCUAUCGAGGUGUUGGAUCGCUUACGAAUUGAAAACUUUGACGAGGGUUGGGAACUCGACUCAUUUGGCUUAUAUCAAAACACCUAUUCAGUAGCUCUGUGGUGCACGAGAAACCGGGAACAAGGAAGGUGCACUGUAUAGUUGCUUUUAGUAAAUUCUGACCUUCCAUUGUGUCUUUGUAUCGAAAUCAAAUAAUAUUCUUGUUUUGAUUUAUAAAAAAUUAGGUUAUAUGAGAUAACCGUUAUAUAUAAAUAAUAUUUAAAAUGAUUAAAAAAAUAUUUUUAUUAAAUUCAUCAUUUACAACCAACUUAUAAAAUAUAGCAGAUGUGCAAGAAAAAGAAAAAAACUUUUUUGAAAUAGUAUGUAAGAUGGUGCCGUAAAUAAUGCGAAUUAAUUUAAUAGAAGGAUUUGACUUAUAAUGGUAAGUUUAUCAUAAGAUUUAUGCUUAAAAUUUGAUUUUUUUUUUUUUAAAUCUAGAUGCAACCUUGGGAGGUUGUAAUUAAUUUACGACGGAAUAACAAAUCUAUUUAUAUAAACAAAAUGUAUUUUUAUAAACAAAACAUAAGUUUAUUAUUAUUAAUUUUAUCUUUUUUUAUCCACAUUGUGUCA